GGCAGAACGGGUCGAGUAAUCGCAUCGGAACGUGCCCAGUUGUAGGGGGAUAACCAGUCGAAAGAUUGGCUAAUACCGCAUACGACCUGAAGGGUGAAAGCGGGGGACCGAAAGGCCUCGCGCGAUUGGAGCGGCCGAUGUCUGAUUAGCUAGUUGGUGAGGUCAAGAGCUCACCAAGGCGACGAUCAGUAGCUGGUCUGAGAGGACGACCAGCCACACUGGGACUGAGACACGGCCCAGACUCCUACGGGAGGCAGCAGUGGGGAAUUUUGGACAAUGGGCGCAAGCCUGAUCCAGCCAUGCCGCGUGCGGGAAGAAGGCCCUCGGGUUGUAAACCGCUUUUGUCAGGAACGAAACGGCGCUUGUUAAUACCGAGCGCUAAUGACGGUACCUGAAGAAUAAGCACCGGCUAACUACGUGCCAGCAGCCGCGGUAAUACGUAGGGUGCGAGCGUUAAUCGGAAUUACUGGGCGUAAAGCGUGCGCAGGCGGUUAUGCAAGACGGAUGUGAAAUCCCCGGGCUCAACCUGGGAACUGCAUUCGUGACUGCAUAGACUAGAGUUUGUCAGAGGGGGGUGGAAUUCCACGUGUAGCAGUGAAAUGCGUAGAUAUGUGGAAGAACACCGAUGGCGAAGGCAGCCCCCUGGGACUAGGACUGACGCUCAUGCACGAAAGCGUGGGGAGCAAUCAGGAUUAGAUACCCUGGUAGUCCACGCCCUAAUCGAUGUCGACUAGUUGUACGGGGCAGCUAACACCCUUGAGUAACGCAGCUAACGCGUGAAGUCGACCG
rnacentral:rRNA from 1 species